AGAACGAACGCUGGCGGCAUGCCUAAUACAUGCAAGUCGAACGAGAUCUUCGGGUCUAGUGGCGCACGGGUGCGUAACGCGUGGGAAUCUACCCUUGGGUUCGGAAUAACAGUUGGAAACGACUGCUAAUACCGGAUGAUGACGAAAGUCCAAAGAUUUAUCGCCCAAGGAUGAGCCCGCGUAGGAUUAGCUAGUUGGUGAGGUAAAGGCUCACCAAGGCGACGAUCUGUAGCUGGUUUGAGAGGACGACCAGCCACACUGGGACUGAGACACGGCCCAGACUCCUACGGGAGGCAGCAGUGGGGAAUUUGGACAAUGGGGGAAACCCUGAUCCAGCCAUCCCGCGUGUGCGAUGAAGGCCUUCGGUUCGUAAG
rnacentral:rRNA from 1 species